AGCCCGCGCCGGGCCGCGCCGGCCCCUUCCCAUGCGGGCGGCGCGGGCCCUGGGAGGGGCGCCCGGAGCCAGCCGCGCAGCAUGCACUGGGGGGUUGGCUUUGCCUCGUCCAGGCCGUGCGUGGUGGAUCUGAGCUGGAACCAGAGCGUCUCCUUCUUCGGCUGGUGGGCCGGGUCCGAGGAGCCCUUCUCCUUUUAUGGGGACAUCAUCGCUUUCCCUUUGCAGGAUUACGGUGGGAUCAUGGCAGGGCUGGGCUCCGAUCCCUGGUGGAAGAAAACCCUUUACUUGACUGGGGGAGCUUUGCUGGCCGCAGCUGCGUAUCUGCUCCACGAACUCCUGGUCAUUAGGAAACAGCAAGAGAUUGACUCUAAAGAUGCUAUUAUUUUGCAUCAGUUUGCAAGACCUAACAAUGGUGUUCCCAGUUUAUCUCCUUUCUGUUUAAAAAUGGAAACUUAUUUAAGGAUGGCUGACUUACCAUAUCAGAACUAUUUUGGUGGAAAACUUUCUGCUCAAGGGAAAAUGCCUUGGAUUGAAUAUAAUCAUGAAAAAGUUUCUGGCACAGAAUUCAUAAUUGACUUUCUGGAAGAGAAACUUGGAGUGAAUUUAAACAAAAACCUUGGCCCUCAUGAAAGAGCCAUCUCCAGAGCGGUGACCAAGAUGGUGGAGGAGCAUUUCUACUGGACAUUAGCUUAUUGCCAGUGGGUGGACAAUCUCAAUGAGACCCGGAAGAUGCUCUCUCUUAGUGGUGGUGGUCCCUUCAGCAACCUGCUGAGGUGGGUCGUGUGCCACAUAACGAAAGGAAUUGUGAAACGCGAGAUGCACGGCCACGGCAUUGGCCGCUUCUCCGAGGAAGAGAUUUACAUGCUGAUGGAGAAGGACAUGCGGUCUUUGGCAGGGCUUUUGGGUGAUAAGAAGUACAUCAUGGGGCCCAAGCUUUCCACUCUCGACGCCACUGUCUUUGGACACUUGGCACAGGCAAUGUGGACCUUACCAGGGACAAGACCUGAGCGGCUGAUGAAAGGUGAGCUGAUCAAUCUCGCCAUGUACUGUGAGAGGAUACGGAGGAAAUUCUGGCCAGAGUGGCACCAUGAUGACGAUAAUACCAUCUAUGAGUCUGAGGAGAGCAGCGAAGGCAGCAAAACCCACACCCCGCUGCUGGAUUUUAGCUUUUACUCAAGGACAGAGACCUUUGAAGAUGAGGGAGCAGAAAACAGUUUUUCCAGAACCCCAGACACGGAUUUUACCGGACACUCACUCUUUGAUUCGGAUGUGGACAUGGAUGACUAUACAGACCACGAACAGUGCAAGUGAUGUCCAGCCUCGCUGACCCUCUUCCUUGGGAUCUGCCAUUCCCUGGGUCGGUCCAUUUUCCCAGGUAGCAUUCCAUCCGAGCUGGGAGGAGAUCUUCGUGCUUGGCACAGUUUUCACAUGCUAAGUGGACUAUAGCAGCCUUAUUUCUUUUUUGUACAAACAAAACACAGAACCAUUCAGAUGACUUCAUUUAAAACAAACAGGCAAAAAAAAAAUAAUAAUAAUGUCAGCAUGGUUCCUGAAAUCCAUUUUUGUUUUCAUUAGAAAACUAUUAAUAAUACUGUGUGGUAGAGCAAGUAUCAGAGCGGGUUGCCAGCUGAUAGGGUUUAUGAUGAUCCUCUUCAUCCUGAGGUCUUAGUUGUGAGAUGGAUUCUUGAACCUCCUUCAUCCACCAGGAUUUGAAGUAAUGAGAGAUAUCAUCAGAAAAAGUGUAGGAGAUAAAUGUUUUCUGGUGGCUGCUUGUACUUUAUGUGUGUAUAUUGUAUGUUGAGACGUAAGUCAAAUAAAAUCCACAGAUAUUCAACAAACACCUACUAUGUGCAAAGCACCGUGCUAGGUGCUAAUCAGUAUAUGUUUUAUUCUAAGCCCUGCCAGUGACUAGCUGUGUGAUUUUGAGCAAAUCUCUUAUUAACUAAUGUGUACCUCAUUUCUCCCACCUGCGAAGUGGGGAUGACAAUACUCUCCACCUACCUACCUCACAGGGGUGUUGUGGGGAUUCAUGUGAUAACAUUCUUUUGGCGCUUUAAACCUCUUGGAAGUGGUGCAACAUAAACACAGCAUUUUAUUCUUUAUUGCACUUCAUGCUUGUGAAGAUUUGAGGGCAAAGGAAUUCCGUAUCCAGGCAGCCACCACCACAGUCACUUGCAAAAGCUGAAAUGCACACAAAGGUACACUUAGGACUUUGUCAUCAUUCCUUUCUGUUAUCUUGGUUGAAUCAAAAUCUUUUGCUCAAAGAACGUUGGAAAUGUUUUUACAAAUUAUCGACAGCUACAGACAGUUUUCAAUUCUACUGUGUAUUUGCAGAAAAGUGGUUCUUUCAUUGCCUGAACUCAUCAUUGCAUGUUCUGUGUUGACUCCGGAGUGUUAAGUUGCCUAUGUUUGAUUUAUUUGAGGAGAAUAAAUCUCAGGAAUACAGUGGGUUUCAUAGAGGUGAAGGGGAAAGUAUUUGACUGAUUUUUGUAAGCAGAGGCUUGCCAACUUGUAAUGUCUUUUUGAAAACAAACCUUGCAGAGAUAUAUUGAAAAGAUGAAGUGGCAAGAUGAUACUUGUAUCAAAGCACUCUGUUCAGUGAUAGACUGUAUGCGGUUUUAUUAAUGCAACUUAUCUGGUGUUUUCGGCCACUGCCCAGUGAGAGGAGAGCAAUCCUGAGAACAAGUCUUAAUGUCUUUCCUGUGUCUUCCCCGUUCUCUCUCUCUUUCUCUACAGUAUUCUAUGAAAUGUUGGCUUACCCAUGUUUGUGAAGGCACCAUAUUUCCAAAGGUUUUUUUUUUUUUGACUUAGGACAUUUUCUAGGGAAAUAUGGGGCAACGAUCCUGGGUGAUGGUUGUGGAUUUGGCCUAGGAGAGCCAGUGUUAAGAAUUUACAAUUGCAAAUGAAACUGCUUUGCUUCUGACCAACAUAAGGAUUGUUCAUUAUGGGGUUAAAGAGGCACUUCUUAAAGGCAACUUCUGAGAAAUCCAUGUACUUUACUUGAAAAAAAAAAACACCUCUUUUUGAAUAUAGCUUUGCAAAAUCAUCUUAAAAGACUACUGUAGAUUCACAAAGAGGUAAAGGGAGAAGAGUUUUUGAGACUGUUUACUUACCUCUUAAGCAAUUGCGUAGGGCAUAUGUAUCUGGGAAUAUAUGCUGAGAUACCCCAAGUUAGAAAUUCUUAUUCCAUGGGAAACUUAGUUUUUAAAAUCUUAUUAUAAGGGUUUUAAUAAAACCCUUCUUAUUUAAAGGGACUGUUUGAUGCCUAAUAAGAAUGUGGUGGAGAAGAUGUGAGUGGAUAAGCCUGUUUUGAGGCUCCAGCGUCAUUUGGGAGGACUGUUUGCCUCCCCUGUCUCUAGCAAGUGUGUUUUAAGGCCAACUGUGGCACUUCUGUGUGAUUAGGGAGAAUAUGAAUAUAAUGAACAGGUGGACAGUAGACCUGUAUCCACAAAGCAUGGGUUGUCUUUUCCCUACCACAUUUCAGCUGAAAAGAAAUGUAUUUGAAUUUUUUUCUGUAAACAAUUUAUUCUUACUGUACAGUACCAAGUGUGAUGUAUUUUCUCUCAAAGGCUGAUCAAGUUAUGAGAAUGUAGAUUCAUAUAUGUUUUUAAUUUUGUAUUACUUGGAAUACAAGUAUGUGGAGAACCAACUUUGAAAAUGAAGUUGUAAAAUAAGUCAUUCCAUCCAGGUACCUCCUGCAGGGGCAUGAAUGGACAUUGCUACCUGGAGUCUUUGGGCACUUGCUUGACAGCUUAUGACUGGGCACUCAACAUUUUGUAGGUGUUAACUUAAUUUCGAUCCCUGGAAUAUAUGCCCUAGCUUUACUUUUCCAAGAAAUAAGGCUAAAGACUUCUGCUUCAGUAGAGGUGACAUGUUUGUGUUAUUGCUGUCAAAAUGAUUUUAUUGCCAGUAAUAAGCCUCGUGGGAUCAGAACAUGCUUAUUGUAAACACAUGUUUUUUCCCAGUGAUCUACAUCAUGCCGAUGUUUGACAGCUCAAAUGCUGAUAAGGGUGAUGGUUUCUCCAUGGUGAUGGUUGGAAAAAUGAGGGUCUGAGUCCUCCAUUUGGGGUAUUAGAAUUUAACUGAGUAGGAGGAGAGAAGAAACAGUAAUAAAUGUCAGAGUUUCAGGCAACUAUGUGGUAUGGUUGUGGUAGAGAUGUAUCAGGCAAUUGAAAGUUUUCUAGGUGGUGGCAUCUUGCUAAAAUAAUAAGCACAGGUUUAUAAAUGAAAAACAAAUGCAAUCUAUGUAGGGAAGGAUUGUCUGUGAAUAUACAAGUGGCCAGUCCAGGAAAUGUUGAAGUAACAUUUGUCUUUCUUAAUUUCUAUGCUUGUGUCCCCCAUUCCCCUUCUGAAGCCAGGCCUGAGACUUUAGAUAGCAGCUUAGGGGGUCUGGCCCUGAUACGUUUACUCUUUUAAUUUUAGAAUUUCCUUCUGGUCUCUCAAAAGUGUGGCAUAUUAUCUUCUGUUUUAUAAAUAUAAAAUGUACACAGUAAUUUACAUUUUGUUUUAGAGAAGCCCUUUAAAUGUUUGGAGACAGCCCAGAUCAUCCCUAUUUAGGCAGUGGUCUCCAAACCUUUCUGCUUAUUCACCCAUCAGUAAAACUUUCUGAGCAUGCCCCUCCAUGUAUUUAUUUAUGAUAUAUAUAUAUAUAUAUAUGUAUAUAUGUAUACACUGCUGUAUAUGUAUAUACUGUUGUACUGAUGUAAACAUUAAAAACCAUAGCAAACAUAGAAAUUUUAAAAGUAUAUUUUCUGGUCCACAAUGGAUUUUAGAGAAUGGGACAAGGGGUCUUUAGGGGUUAGCACCCAGAUGGCUGUAAUUGAUUAGAAAAUGUGUAUAUACUAUUUGUGGCAAAGCACAUAUAAAAUAGGCUUGGACACAUGAUUUUAAGUCAAGGUAUGUAAUUAUUUUUACCUAAAAUAGGCAUUUUUGGUUGGGGAAGAGAAAGAUGAACAAUUCAGUGUCAACUUUAAGAUUGCUCUUUUUAAUUCUGCUUUUGGGACCACUUGAUCUAGAAUGUCUUGAAAAUUCCGGAAAGAUUUAACAACACACUGACUUAAGCAAAACAAGGAAAGAAAGUAGGGGUGGGGUGGUACCCAAAUAAUGCAAAUACGGGAUGUGUUGUCUGAGAAUUUCAGCAUCAAUCUGAAAAACAUGUUUUGAUAAUGCCUGGUAAUUCAAUUCAUCAUCUCACUGAUUACAUGUCUUUUUUUCUAUUUGUUUAUAAUCUUGUGUCUUCAAAUGUGGAAGAUGUACAGACUUAUUUUCAGAUAUCUGAGAUAGGAAGGGCCAAUGUUGGCAUAAUUUGAACUCACAUUUCAGCUGCUUGGGGGCUGACGGGUGGACACCACCUGGAAACACCUGCACCAUCUGUUUUGCAAACACAAUGAUUAGCAUCUUGCUGAAUGAUGACCCCAGUAUGAAGGUGGCAUUUCAGUGUUUAUUUCUGGACCUAUGAGUUACUUUAGCAGACUUAUUAGUAGUUUAUGAAGCCAUAUUUAAAACUUGUACACUUGAUUGUAAGAUAGAUUUGAAUUGUGCACUAUGUUGAUUACUGUAUAUAAAUGUGGAAAAUCUGUAUAUUUGGUCUUAAUGCUUUAUGUAUUUGAUGUGUAAAUGAUAACUAAUGGAAAUGAAAUA